rnacentral:tRNA from 2 species
CGGGGCGUGGCGUAGUCUGGAAGCGCACCUGAAUGGGGUUCAGGAGGUCGCCGGUUCAAAUCCGGCCGCCCCGACCA